rnacentral:rRNA from 1 species
UACGUAGGUGGCAAGCGUUAUCCGGAAUUAUUGGGCGUAAAGAGCGCGCAGGUGGUUGAUUAAGUCUGAUGUGAAAGCCCACGGCUUAACCGUGGAGGGUCAUUGGAAACUGGUCGACUUGAGUGCAGAAGAGGGAAGUGGAAUUCCUAGUGUAGCGGUGAAAUGCGUAGAUAUUAGGAGGAACACCAGUUGCGAAGGCGGCUCUCUGGACUGUAACUGACACUGAGGCACGAAAGCGUGGGGAGCAAACAGGAUUAGAUACCCCGGUA